UGCGAUCAAUUAUAUUCAAAUUAUACCAUUAAACAUUUAAAUAAGGGUAAAACAUGCAUAUGAUACAAUAUACAAUCAUCUCCGAGUCUUACAUAGGCUUACGAAAUCUCUUUUGCUAACCCGAGGUUGAAUUAGGACCUAAUUAUAAAGUUUGCAAAAUAUCAGGUUAACGUCGUGAUUUUAGGGGUUUCUCGUUGCGACGCAACUCAUUGACUAGGUCUCAGCGCGAUAUGAUUGUGUGUUUGCAAAUGGUCCAAAAUGGUACCAACAAGCUUCACCUAGAAAGCAGAUUCAUCUCAAUCAUUUCCUAUUUCAGCCAAAUAUACCAUUCCCAAAUCUACAUUUCUAACAUAUCUUACCAUAUAUGCAUUGAAAUACAUAAACAUACUUUUUUAAUUUAUGCAGUUAUGGAAAUUUCCAAACUUCUACUAAAUUAUCAUACGCAUACAUAUAUAGAUCACAAAUAUGACAACAUUUUAAGCAAUCCAACUAAGUGCCAAACUCUAAUACAAAAACCAAUCCAUUUGACCAUUCUCCAAUUACCAUUUUCUAACAUUAAAAACGAACAUGAUCACACAUUAUGUAAAAACCGAUUCAACUUAGGUACAUGUCAUAUAUUUAACAAAAUGAGACUACAAACAUUGUUGAGUCGAGGAUCACUGGUUGGAUGCUGGAUCACACUUCGGAACUUCAGGAUUUACUUAUACCUACACAUGGAGAAAACAAAUCGUACGCUAAGUAAUAAAGCUCAGUGGUAUUUCCAUGAUGCGAGUCAUUAUCAAGCUUAAAUCAAUUGCAUAUAUUCAAUUCAAGUUCAAUUCAUAGCCAAUUCUCAUGCAAUUUCAUGCCAAAAACUUCUAUUACCAUAUAAACAUGCAUAUAAUCAUUUUUACACAUCGAUUCACUAUGCAUUUACCCAAACUUACCAUUUCUCACUCAUUUCACAAACUGCUUAUGACUAGAGGUAUCCAUGGGCCGGGUCGGGCCCAGAAAAAAUUUUCGGCCCAUGUCCUAGCCCGGGCCCGGCCCAAAAUAUAGGCCUGAGAUUUUGCCCAGGCCCGCCCCGGGGAAAAAAUAUGAAACCCGAGCCCGGCCCGGCCCGUUUUUAAUUAAAAUUAAAAUUAAAAUUAAAAUAUUGAAUUUCAUGUUUUAUAGAUUAUGAUUAUAAACAGUUGUGCGUGUAUUAAUAAGGAGGCUGAUAUCUAAAAUUAAUCAUUGUUUAUAUAUAAUUUUAAACAUCAUUGAUUAAGCUACCAUCAAAUGAUGUGGUGUAUGAUUAAUGGAAAUUAAACAUAAUAAAUUGAAAAUUUUCAAAGGAAACUAGUACUAUGAAUGAUAAUAAUAAUCAAACUAAAAUUUUUAAUUUUAAACUAUAAGAAUUACAUGAACUAAUAGCAUAUUUUAAGGAAGAAAGUUGUUUCUAUAAAUUUUGGUGUUUUUAGCCGAAAUUCCUAAACACCAAAACAAAUUUCUUUCAUUGAAGACAGUGGCUUGGCAUGGAAAAAAAAAACAACCUUCAAACAAUUAGACAAAAUUAAGGUGAAUCAAAAAGACCAAAGGACAAUCACACAUCGGUACGCAACCCACAGCUCAUCAAACCCCAUAUCCAUACCCUAUUCCUUUGCUUAUAAUUUUAACUCUCCCCUAUUUUAAAGCUGACCAAAAAAGAACCCACUCUUUCAUCACUCUCCCCCUUCAUACUCUAAUGGUUCCAUUUUUUUCUUUUUCUUUGUUCAUAAAUCUAUGUCCAGGAAACUUGAAUCGGGGUUUUCCUGGAAAUUCACUCAUCUGAUCUAAACACACACACACAAAAGGGGGAUUUUGAGAAGUAGAACAGCCAUGGAGGUCGAAAGGUUUAGGGUUUACCUUAAAUACGAUUCUGUUGGAGAACCGAAGGUGGAUCGGUGGAGGUCUUAACGGUGGAGGUGGAUCGGUGAUUUAGAAUCGGUGGAGACAGACAGAUGGGGUUAGGGAUUUUAGAAGGCACAGGGUUAGGGAUUUUGGAAUUUUGAAGACAGACGGUCGACGUGGGAAAGUGAAAAAUAAAACUAAAAACUAAAAAGUUAAAGUUAAAACUAAAAUUAACUAUUAUAUUUUAAAAAUAAAAAAAAUAUAUUUAAUAUAUUUCGGGCCGGGCCGGGCCCGGGCCAAAAUUUUUUUACCCGAGGCCCGGCCCAUUUUCUAAACGGGCCUCAUUUUUUGCCCAAGCCCAUAUUUCAGGCCUAUAUUUUUACCCGAACCCUCCCAUAUUCCGGGCGGGCCAUCGGGCCGGGCCAGGCCGCCCGACCCAUGGACAGGUCUACUUAUGACACAUUUGGUUCAUUUAAUGGAAUAAGGGUGUAAUGGGAUAACCAUUAUGUGAAAAAGGAAUAGGGCUGUAAUGGAAUUGAAUAGGCAUAAUAGUGAUUUGGUUGGAUGGAUGGAAUGAGUAUUAUAAUAGUAUUCAUGCAUUUGGUUGAGAGGAAUAGAUAUGGAAUAAAUCACAAAUGAUAAUUUUACCUUUAGAAAUAAAAAAAUAUUUUAAAUAUAUUAUACUAUAUUGUAAAAAUAUUUAAAUUGAAUUAUAUUUUUCAUUAAAUUAAAUAAUUACUAAUAAUAAAAAAUAUAAUUAAAUAAUAAUUUAUAUAAUAAUUUUUUAUUUUUAAUAUUAAUUAUAUAAAUGUUUUGAUAAAAAUAUUAUAUAAAUACAUAUUAUUACUCCAUUCACCGCACCAUAGCCUGCUCCCAAGCUCUACCACUUCCUCUGAUCUUCACCGCACCAUUAUUACUUGAUCAUUACCCUAAAAUCACCACCACCAUUUGUUUCGCUUCAUCAUUCUCACCACACUAACCCAACGAUUCAAAAGCCUCCAUUACCUGAAAACAAACCCAAAUACCAAAUUGAUCAAACUGACAACACCAUCGCCAGAACAAUUUAAAAAAUAAAGAGAAUAGAGAAGCAAAGAAGAAGAAAAAAGGUGAAAGAGAUGACCUUUAAAACUAACAACCACAGCAGCCAGAAUGAAAUGAAUUUCAAGCUUUUCUAAAUUAACCCAAAGAAAAUAUUCUAUAAUUUUAGGAUUUACUAAAUCCCCACCGCUAAAAUUGGUUCAAGCUACUAACCCAUUAACCAAAAUGUGAAACCGAUAGUUACCCAUAUCUAAUCUCAAUGAAUUGAAUCUAAGGAAAUGGAGACGUACCAUGUGUGUCCCUGGAUCUUGAACAUUGAAGAUGUAUUUUCACGGCAAACUAAAAACCUUAGCGGUGUGGUAGAUUUGAGGCAGACCAGGAAGGAGCGUUCUAGCACAGAGCAAAAAGUCCAACCAGAAGAGAGAUGGGAAUUGGGUGAACGAGUUGGAGAUAAAUCGAUGAUUCUCAACCACGAAAUCUGGGGAGACACCACUGUUACGACAGAAUCGACGAGUGAACAUAUACAGGGUAAAAUUGCCUGGGACAAAAUUUUGCUAUUACAUAUGUUGUUGAAUGGGCUAUUUUUAGCCCCCUUCACUGAAUGAUGAUUCGGUAAAUCAGAAGAAUGGGAAAGGACUAGUAAUUCGGCUGAAUGAAGAGAACAGUAAACCAAACUACAACCCCACUAUUCAUCCAAGAAUAAAGAGGGAAUAGCUAUUCCAUUCCCCUCAACCAAACGUGAAGUUAAUCAAUUCAUAUUGUCAUCUAUAGGCACAUAUACUUAUUCAUUUACCGUCAUCAACAUAUAUACACAUAUACUCAAUUUCAUCUC
rnacentral:lncRNA from 1 species